UACAAUGGCAGGUACAGAGGGGUGCUACCGGGUGACCGGAUGCCGAUCUCGAAAACCUGUCCCAGUUCGGACUGGAGUCUGCAACCCGACUCCACGAAGUUGGAUUCGCUAGUAAUCGCGCAUCAGCCAUGGCGCGGUGAAUACGUUCCCGGGCCUUGUACACACCGCCCGUCAAGCCAUGGGAGCCGGGGGCGCCUGAAGUCCGGGACCGCGAGGACCGGCCUAGGGCGAAACUGGUGACUGGGGCUAAGUCGUAACAAGGUAAC
rnacentral:rRNA from 1 species